GGUUCUGUAGCGCAAUGGACAGCAGGUUGGAUUUCUAAUUUAAAGGUUGUGGGGUCGAGUCCCAUCAGAGUAG